UACGAAGGGGGCUAGCGUUGCUCGGAAUUACUGGGCGUAAAGCGCACGUAGGCGGAUUGUUAAGUCGGGGGUGAAAUCCUGGAGCUCAACUCCAGAACUGCCUUCGAUACUGGCGAUCUCGAGUCCGGGAGAGGUGAGUGGAACUGCGAGUGUAGAGGUGAAAUUCGUAGAUAUUCGCAAGAACACCAGUGGCGAAGGCGGCUCACUGGGUCGCUACCGACGCUGGGGUGCGAAAGCGUGGGGAGCGAACAGG
rnacentral:rRNA from 1 species